rnacentral:tmRNA from 1 species
GGGGGCGUUAAGGCUUCGACAAUUACAUUGCAGAGUUUUCUAAGCGUGCUGGCAGGCUCGACUGCCUAAAAACGGAAAUUAAAAUUAAACGCUGAUCAAAAAUUAGCACUUGCUGCUUAGUUGCGGCAGGGCAGAUGGUUAGGCUUACAUAACCAUUAUGCUCUUAAAUUGUAAGAUGCGCUUUGGCUUCUUGCUUGAAGAAGUAAAGCUAAGAAAAUUUCAAGCAAAUCAUUUUGCAGUUUGCCAAAUUGGGCAAAGUGAUUAACUUAAUUUGGCUGGGGCACGAAGAAGGGGGAACAAUGCAGUAGUUGGACGCGGGUUCAAUUCCCGCCGCCUCCACCA